UACGGGGGGGGCAAGCGUUGUUCGGAAUUACUGGGCGUAAAGGGCUCGUAGGCGGCCCUCUCAGUCGGAUGUGAAAUCCCCAGGCUCAACUUGGGAACGGCAUCCGAUACUGGAGGGCUUGAAUUCGGGAGAGGGAUGCAGAAUUCCAGGUGUAGCGGUGAAAUGCGUAGAUAUCUGGGGGAAUACCGGUGGCGAAGGCGGCAUCCUGGACCGAGAUUGACGCUGAGGAGCGAAAGCUAGGGGAGCAAACGGG
rnacentral:rRNA from 1 species